AUUUGUUUCUGAGGUGCCUCUCCUGAAGUGAAAAGUUGCUGCAGAGACCUACCGCACCUUAGAAGCUGAAGUGCAAUACCAUGGAAGGAGGGCUGUGUGGUUCCUGGAACAAAAUGUCACAGGAUCAAACAGAACCAUGUUUUUCCCUCUAGGAUUAUGAAACUGUGACUCUACCAGCUCAAGGAGUUGUGUUUUGUUUUGCAGAGUCAAUAUCCAGAUUAGCUCUUGUGGGGUUUACCUGACUGAUGUAUACUUUAACAAGCAGUUUCCACCUGACGGUGUUUUCCUAUUCUCCUAACCUUUAGUUGUGACAACACUUGAGGGCAUGCAGCAGUGGAGCCAAAAGUGUUUGGUAGUACCUUCAUCUCAGCAGGACAAGGAAAGAGUUGCAAAGGCUUUCUGCUUCAUUCCUUCUGCCUCUUGGGCGCAACCCCAGCCAUCAGUUUGGAGUGCUGCAGCAUUUGUAAACUCGGUGAGAGAACUGGAUAUGAUUCCCAGGGCUCCAGAUGGCACCUGCCAGAUGGAAGUUCAUAUUGUCUUAAGAUGCUGGCGUUGAUGCCAUGGUGUUCGAGAAUGCAAUAACAUUUUGUGGUGGAUUUUCUUACUAGAUAAACUUGUUUGGGAAAAGAGACUGACCUCAGCCUAGCUACAACCUUCUUUCAAGCAGCUGUAGAGAGUGACAAGACCCCUCUGAACCUCCUCUUCUCCAGGCUAAGUGACCCCAGCUCCCUCAGACACUCCACACAGGACUCACUCUCCAGACCCUUCCCCAGCUCCGUUGCCCUUCUCUGGACUCGCUCCAGUACCUCAAUGUCUUCUCUUGUCAUGAGAGGCCCAAAACUGGACACAGGAUUUGAGGUGUGGCAAUCCCUGCGCUGGUCCUGCUGGCUGCACUAUCCUUGGUUCAAGCCAGGCUGCCAUUGGCCUUCUUGACCACCUGGGCUCACGCUGGGCCCACAUUUGCCUGCUGUCCCCAGGUCCUUUUCUGCUGGGCCACUUUCCAGCCACUGUGCCCCAGCCUGUGGCGCUGCAUGGCAUUGUUGUGACCCAAAUGCAGGACCCAACAUUUUGCCUUGUUGAACCUCAGACCAUGGGCCUUGGCCCAUCGACCCAGCCUGUCCAGAUUCCCCUGCAGAGCCUUCCAUCACUCCUGCUCACCUUAGUGUUGUCCAUGAACUGACUGAGGAUGCACUCAAUCCCCUCAUCUGCAUCAUCAAUAAAGAUGAACAAUAAAGAACAGGACUGGUCCCACUGCUGAGCCCUCUGGAACCUCUUGUGACUUACCAACAACUGGAGGUAGCACCAUUCAUCACCACUCUCUGGGAUUAGCCAUCCAACAAGUUUUUUACCCAGUGCACCUGUCCAAGCCAAGAGCAGCUGGUUUCUCUAGCUCUGGGAAAUCAUAAUGAAAAGAAGAUGGUGGCAGGUUUUUUUCUUCUUGAUAAUUUCUAGAUUAAAUUAUUUCAGUCAGGGGUACUCUCUUUUUUUAAGAAAGUCACUAUUUAUUAUUAUAUUCUUCUAGAGCCCACUUUUCCCCUUCUGUGUCCAUCUCUGCCCCUGUGUGCUGGAUGGGCCUGGGAUGUGCAAAGCAUUGAGAUGCUGUCCUGGAUGGACCCUUCACUUCUACAUCAGAGUUUGCCAUGCAUAAUGCUGGUCUUAACACUGCAUAACUAUUCUAUUUUAUUAAUAGAAUCAUAGAAUGGCCUGGGUUGGAAACUUUAAACAUCACGUAGUUUCAAUUCUCCCUCUGUAGACAGAGGAAUUUGUCUUACUUUCACUAGACCAAGUUUCUCAGAGCUUCAUCCAACCUGGCCUUAAAUGCUUCCAGGGACGGAGCAUCCAUAACUUUUUGGAGCAUUCUAUUCCAGUGCCUCACCACCCUCACAGUAAGGAUUUUCUUCUGUUCCAUUCUCUUCCCUGUACUCACAAUUAAUUGAAUAAAAAUUACACCAUUAUUUUCACGAAAUGUCAAGCGUUUGUGAGCUACAAAAACCACUUUCAAGAAGACAAAUCAAAAAGGUUACAAGUGGAAACAGGGUUUUAUUUUCCUGAAUCUGUUUCAGAGUUGAUGCUCACAAGUAUUAAAACAAUGUGCAUGUGUGGUCAGGCAGGCUUGUAGCAUUUCAGAAGUCUCUUGCAUUUGUUGCAGAGAGUGUUUGAAUUGCUGGUGUUAAUUAACAUUAAUAUGUCUAGUCUGAGGGUUUACUUGUUGCAUUACUCUUGAAUGUAACAUUUUGAUUGCUGCUUAAUUCCAUA